rnacentral:rRNA from 1 species
UACGGUAGGUGGCAAGCGUUGUCCGGAUUUAUUGGGGUUUAAAGGGUGCGUAGGCGGUCCUAUAAGUCAGUGGUGAAAUACGGCAGCUCAACUGUCGAGGUGCCAUUGAUACUGUAGGACUUGAGUACAGACGAGGUAGGCGGAAUUGACGGUGUAGCGGUGAAAUGCUUAGAUAUCGUCAAGAACACCGAUAGCGAAGGCAGCUUACUAGACUGUAACUGACGCUGAGGCACGAAAGUGUGGGGAUCAAACAGG